rnacentral:rRNA from 1 species
GUAAAGAUUUUAAGGGCGUACGGCGGAUGCCUUGGCGAUAUCAGCCGAAGAAGGACGCGGUAAGCUGCGAUAAGCUACGGAGAGGUGCAAGCAACCUUUGACCCGUAGAUUUCCGAAUGGGGGAACCCGGCAGUGGUUAUGCACUGUCACCCAUACCUUUGAGUAUGAGGAGGGCACCUGGGGAACUGAAACAUCUAAUUACCCAGAGGAAGAGUAAUCAAACGAGAUUUUCUUAGUAGCGGCGAACGGGAAAGAGGCCAAACCGAAGCGGGCAACCGCAUCGGGGUUGAGGACAGUCAUCAAGUGUAAAUGAGGUAGAAGAAUCGAGUUGGAAAGCUCAGCCGCAGAAGGUGAAAGCCCUGUAAUCGAAACCUUGCAUACAUGGGACUGUAUCCAGAGUACCACGAGACACGUGAAACCUUGUGGGAAGCAGGGGGGACCACCCUCCAAGGCAAAAUACAGAUAUCGACCGAUAGCGCAUAGUACCGUGAGGGAAAGGUGAAAAGCACCCCGGGAGGGGAGUGAAAGAGAACCUGAAACCGUAUGUCUACAAACAGUCGAAGUCUGUAUAUAUAUCAGGACGACGGCGUGCCUAUUGAAGAAUGAACCGACGAGUUACUGUUGCUAGCGAGGUUAAGUGGAAAACAUGGAGCCGCAGCGAAAGCGAGUCUGAACAGGGCGUUCAGUUAGUGAUAGUAGACCCGAAACCGUAGUGAUCUAUCCANNNNNNNNNNGAGUUGGGGAUAGGGGUGAAAUGCCAAUCGAACACGGAGAUAGCUGGUUCUCCCCGAAAUAGCUUUAGGGCUAGCCUCGAGGUUGAGAGUAUAGGCGGUAGAGCACUGAUCGGGCUAGGGGCCAUACCGGUUACCGAACCUAGUCAAACUACGAAUGGCUAUACUUAUACUCGGGAGUCAGACAGUGAAUGAUAAGGUCCAUUGUCAAGAGGGAAACAGCCCAGAACACCGACUAAGGUCCCAAAUGUUACACUAAG